UCCCUUGUAGCUCAGUCGAUAAAGAAUCUGCCUGCAAUGCAGAAGACCCAGGUUCGAUUCCUGGGUCAGGAA
rfam:Ovis aries breed Texel chromosome 8, whole genome shotgun sequence.